CUGCAUUGAUGACUCCUAGGACACCUUUGGAUUAAACCAUGAAAACAGUAAGAUUUCUGAGCAGC
ensembl:snoRNA SNORD58 Small nucleolar RNA SNORD58